UGUUUUCAAACAAUAUUCUUCUAAACUUGUAUUAUUUAUUUUAUUUCAUGAAACAGAAAAAGAGAACAAUGGUGGAAGAAAUUUGAUUAAAAUCAUCAAGCUGAUAGAAAUCUUUCUUUAAAUGAAUCAUCUUAACGAUUGUCUUUUAUUUGAUCCAUUUAAAUCUCACUGUCAGAUGUGUGUUUUAUGCAGCAUAUCUCUUUUUCAGUAAUUAUGGAGAUGCUGUGUGAAAGUGGGCCAGCUCCUCAUAGACUCAGCAGGAGCUCUCCUUAAAAGGCCAGGAUGGAUGAUGUCGACUGUCUUUUUUCCCUGUCUCGUUCUCGCUCUCUCUCUCUGAGGAGGAGGAGAGGCCCAGUAAGCUUUGAGAAUCUCAUCAUCUCAUCAGAGAAGCUUAUGAUAUGAUGACUUCCAGGAGAAGAGGUACAUCAAGGUGCCCACUGGGUCUUCUACUUGAUGUUUUUGAAAACCAGAAUAUUCCCUUUAAUCUUAGCUGACGGAUUGUAAUCCUAAGGAUGGUGAAGAUUGGCAGAGCAGCACCUACAGAUGGACAUCACAGUUGAGUUCUCCACCUGCUCCACUACACAGGCCAACUUCUCUCAUUGUGUGGGUUUAAAUCAGCCCAAUCGCUCUUUUAUUUGACUGCUAACUGGAAACAAUGAGAAAUUUUGUUGUAUAAAGUUAACUCUUAAAUUUAAA